AGGAUUUACAGAGCUUCUGAUUUCUUCCUAAUCUGAAUUAAUUUCUUCCUUAAUCUGAAAUUUGAAUUAUUCUUGGGCUCCCAUUCAUGAGCAUCACAUCCAAGUUAGCAAGUAUAAACAUUGGUUUUGAUGUGUUCAAUCUUUGCAAGUCAGUUAUAAUUACCUGGUGAAGAAAAAAAACAAUGGAGAAGUUGUACAUAAGCUUUUUAAGGGAAUGGAGAGGUCCAAGAAGAGAGAGAGAGGCAGGGGAAUGGCCAGUCAGUGGAGCAGUCAGAACACCUACAACAUUUAUGAUUAAGUUUGCCAUUUCAUAGCCAUGAUUCAUGGCACCCUAAAACAGUGACAAUAGUAACAUCACAGAUCACCCUAAGAAAAAUAAUCAUAAUGAAACAGUUUGAAAUAUUGUGAGAAUUACCAAAAUGUGACACAGAGUGAGCAAAGGCUGUUGAAAAAAUGGUCCUGAUAGACUCGUUCAGUUUAGAGUUGCCACAAAUUCUACAAUUGUAAGAAAUUCAG